GACGAACGCUGGCGGCGUGCUUAACACAUGCAAGUCGAACGGUAAGGCCCUUUCGGGGGUACACGAGUGGCGAACGGGUGAGUAACACGUGGGUGAUCUGCCCUCCACUUUGGGAUAAGCCUGGGAAACUGGGUCUAAUACCGGAUAGGACUACGCGAUGCAUGUCGUGUGGUGGAAAGCUUUUGCGGUGUGGGAUGGGCCCGCGGCCUAUCAGCUUGUUGGUGGGGUGAUGGCCUACCAAGGCGACGACGGGUAGCCGGCCUGAGAGGGUGUCCGGCCACACUGGGACUGAGAUACGGCCCAGACUCCUACGGGAGGCAGCAGUGGGGAAUAUUGCACAAUGGGCGCAAGCCUGAUGCAGCGACGCCGCGUGGGGGAUGACGGCCUUCGGGUUGUAAACCCCUUUCAGCACAGACGAAGCGUAAGUGACGGUAGGUGCAGAAGAAGCACCGGCCAACUACGUG
rnacentral:rRNA from 1 species